rnacentral:rRNA from 1 species
GCAUAUCAAUAAGCGGAGGAAAAGAAAAUAACAAUGAUUCCCCCUAGUAACUGCGAGUGAAGAGGGACAAGCUCAAAUUUUAAAUCUGUCGGGUUCUACCUGACCGAGUUGUAAUUUGAAGAGGCGUUUUCUGUGUUUCUGAUCAGUCCAAGUCCUUUGGGAUAAGGCAUCACGGAGGGUGAGAAUCCCGUUCGGUUGAUCAGAUUCGCUUUACGAUACGCUUUCAAAGAGUCAAGUUGUUUGGGAUUGCAGCUUAAAAUGGGAGGUAAAUUUCUCCUAAGGCUAAAUAACGGCGAGAGACCGAUAGCGAACAAGUACCGUGAGGGAAAGAUGAAAAGAACUUUGAAAAGAGAGUUAAAUAGUACGUGAAAUUGUUGAAAGGGAAACGAUUGAAGCCAGUCGUACCUGCGGGUAAUCAGCCUUUUGGGCAUGAUUCUGUGGAGCGUGAGGAGUUAAACGCCUUCAUGCCUGCAUAUUCGUGUACUUUGGGUGUACUUGCCUGUGUGGUUAGUUAACAUCAAUUUUGGUUAUCAUAAAAUGGUUGGAGGAAUGUAGCUUCGAUUUCGAUUGAAGUGUUAUAGCCUUCGGCAGAUGUGAUGAUCGGGAUUGAGGAUUGCAACGGAUACCUUUCGGGGCUACCUGUCUGGUCUCUGAUCGUUGCUUUGGUGCCGAAAGCGUGCUUACGGUUAUCAAAGUCGAUGGUCAAUAGGUUAGAACGGGUUAAAUUCGUUAAGGAUGUUGACGUA